AGGUCCAGCCUGCCCAGUGAUAAACUUCAACGGCCACGGUACCCUAACCGCGCAAAGGUAGCACAAUCACUUGUUCUUUAAAUAAGGACCAGUAUCAACGGCAUCACGAGGGUCACACCGUCUCCUCCCCCCAAUCAGUGAAACUGAUCUUCCCGUGAAAAAGCGGGAAUAAAACUAUAAGACGAGAAGACCCCAUGGAGCUUUAAACUUUCGGCAACCAAAUAACACACUCCCUACAAACAUAAAAUUAUGCCUACUAGUCUUAGGCUGGGGCGACCGCGGAGUAAAAAUUAACCUCCACAACGAAAAGAACUAAAUCUUUAUCCAAGAGUUACCACUCUAAGAAUUAGGACACUAACGUAAAAUGACCCGACAACGAUCAACGAACCAAGUUACCCUGGGGAUAACAGCGCAAUCUACUUUAAGAGUCCAUAUCGACAAGUAGGCUUACGACCUCGAUGUUGGAUCAGGGUAUCCUAGUGGUGCAGUCGCUACUAAUGGUUCGUUUGUUCAACGAU
rnacentral:rRNA from 1 species